UGAGUAACCUGCCCUUAACUCUGGGAUAAGCCUGGGAAACUGGGUCUAAUACCGGAUAUGACUCCUCAUCGCAUGGUGGGGGGUGGAAAGCUUUAUUGUGGUUUUGGAUGGACUCGCGGCCUAUCAGUUUGUUGGUGAGGUAAUGGCCCACCAAGGCGACGACGGGUAGCCGGCCUGAGAGGGUGACCGGCCACACUGGGACUGAGACACGGCCCAGACCUCCGUACGGGAGCAG
rnacentral:rRNA from 1 species